rnacentral:rRNA from 1 species
GACGAACGCUGGCGGCGUGCUUAACACAUGCAAGUCGAGCGGUAAGGCCCUUUCGGGGGUACACGAGCGGCGAACGGGUGAGUAACACGUGGGUGACCUGCCCUCAGCUCUGGGAUAAGCCUGGGAAACUGGGUCUAAUACUGGAUAUGACUCCACGGUGCAUGUCGUGGGGUGGAAAGCCUUGUGCGGCUGAGGAUGGGCCCGCGGCCUAUCAGCUUGUUGGUGGGGNGAUGGCCUACCAAGGCGACGACGGGUAGCCGGCCUGAGAGGGCGACCGGCCACACUGGGACUGAGACACGGCCCAGACUCCUACGGGAGGCAGCAGUGGGGAAUCUUGCGCAAUGGGCGAAAGCCUGACGCAGCGACGCCGCGUGAGGGAUGACGGCCUC